UUUUAAUCUAAUUUUGUGUAAAAAUGUCUUUUGACAGCACAAUCACAUAACAAGUCACGAAGGAAAUCGACUAUUGUUUACAUUUAUUGGUCGCAUCAAUGGAUAGUAUGCAUUGAGCGUUGAAGUGCUGUCCGUUUGGAUUUGAUGGGUAAUUGUAUUGUAACGGCGGCUGUGGGCCUGGAGGAAGAGGAGAGGAUGAGGGUGUGAUGACAGACCAGCUGUCCGUGCACAUCCUGUCGGUCCGAGCGAAUGGGAGGACGUGUCUCUACAUGCCCAGACAUGUUCACCUGAUACUCGCUGAGCCCUGAAUUAAGACCUCUGACCUACAGAAGCAUCCGUGCUGGUGUUUAUUGGUCUGAGUGAUGGCACACACUUCAUUGCCUUGGUAUUUUUCCGUCGUGUCUGUACAGCAAUCCAG